UACGGGAGGCAACAGUGAGGAAUAUUGGUCAAUGGACGAGAGUCUGAACCAGCCAAGUAGCGUGAAGGAUGAAGGUCCUACGGAUUGUAAACUUCUUUUAUAAGGGAAUAAAACCUCCCACGUGUGGGAGCUUGUAUGUACCUUAUGAAUAAGCAUCGGCUAACUCCGUGCCAGCAGCCGCGGUAAUACGGAGGAUGCGAGCGUUAUCCGGAUUUAUUGGGUUUAAAGGGAGCGCAGACGGGUCGUUAAGUCAGCUGUGAAAGUUUGGGGCUCAACCUUAAAAUUGCAGUUGAUACUGGCGUCCUUGAGUGCGGUUGAGGUGUGCGGAAUUCGUGGUGUAGCGGUGAAAUGCUUAGAUAUCACGAAGAACUCCGAUUGCGAAGGCAGCACACUAAGCCGUAACUGACGUCCAUGCUCGAAAGUGUGGGUAUCAAACAGGAUUAGAUACCCUGGUAGUCCACACGGUAAACGAUGGAUACUCGCUGUUGGCGAUAUACAGUCAGCG
rnacentral:rRNA from 1 species